rnacentral:rRNA from 1 species
CCUACGGUGCGCAGCAGUGGGGAAUAUUGGACAAUGGGCGAAAGCCUGAUCCAGCCAUGCCGCGUGUGUGAAGAAGGCCUUCGGGUUGUAAAGCACUUUCAGUGGGGAAGAAAGCCUUGGGGCUAAUACCCUCGAGGAAGGACAUCACCCACAGAAGAAGCACCGGCUAACUCCGUGCCAGCAGCCGCGGUAAUACGGAGGGUGCGAGCGUUAAUCGGAAUUACUGGGCGUAAAGCGCGCGUAGGCGGUCUGAUAAGCCGGUUGUGAAAGCCCCGGGCUCAACCUGGGAACGGCAUCCGGAACUGUCAGGCUAGAGUGCAGGAGAGGAAGGUAGAAUUCCCGGUGUAGCGGUGAAAUGCGUAGAGAUCGGGAGGAAUACCAGUGGCGAAGGCGGCCUUCUGGACUGACACUGACGCUGAGGUGCGAAAGCGUGGUAGCAAUCAGGAUUAGAUACCCUUAUAGUC